CCCUUAGAUGUUCUGGGCCGCACGUGCGCUACACUGAUGCAUUCAACGAGUCUAAAACCUGCUCUGAUAGGGGUGGGUAAUCUUUUGAAUGUGCAUCGUGAUUGGGAUAGAUGAUUGCAAUUUUUCAUCUUCAACGAGGAAUGCCUAGUAAACGCAAGUCAUCAGCUUGCAUUGAUUACGUCCCUGCCCUUUGUACACACCGCCCGUCGCUCCUACCGAUUGAAUGAUCCGAUGAAUAUCAUGGAUUGAGGAUUAUAGCAGGUUCGCCUGUCUUGAUCUUCGAGAAGUGAAGUAAAUCUUAUCAUUUAGAGGAAGGAGAAGUCGUAACA
rnacentral:rRNA from 1 species